GAACGAGACCUUACCCUGCUAACUAGCCCGUAUUGCUUUGGCAGUACGCUGGCUUCUUAGAGGGACUAUCGGCUCAAGCCGAUGGAAGUUUGAGGCAAUAACAGGUCUGUGAUGCCCUUAGAUGUUCUGGGCCGCACGCGCGCUACACUGACGGAGCCAGCGAGUUUUUUCCUUGUCCGAAAGGUCUGGGUAAUCUUGUGAAACUC
rnacentral:rRNA from 1 species